AGGAGUGGAGCCUGCGGCUUAAUUUGACUCAACACGGGAAACCUCACCAGGCCCGGACACCGGAAGGAUUGACAGAUUGAGAGCUCUUUCUUGAUUCGGUGGGUGGUGGUGCAUGGCCGUUCUUAGUUGGUGGAGCGAUUUGUCUGGUUAAUUCCGAUAACGAACGAGACUCUAGCCUGCUAACUAGGCGUAUUUCGACAUCCCAAAGGCCCGCCGGUUAGGAGGUUUCGCGACCGCCUUGCCGCGCGCGGUUUUUACUGUCGGCGUACAAACAAUUCUUCUUAGAGGGACAGGCGGCUUCUAGCCGCACGAGAUUGAGCAAUAACAGGUCUGUGAUGCCCUUAGAUGUUCUGGGCCG
rnacentral:rRNA from 1 species